UUUUGAACUCAGAGAGUAAAAGGACCAGAUCAGGUGGUGUCUUGGAUGGGUUUUCUGGAAUGCCCGUCCACCCCAAGCUUUAGGCCAGAAUUAAACAGUCAUCAAUCUCUCUGAAGAGGUUUUUUCCAUUGUUUGGAACUUCCCAGUGGGGGAAUUUAAGUUGCUAAUGCAGGGCUGGAAGGGGGGACACUGGCAGAGGCACAUGACUCGGAUGAAAGGAUAUUAUCAUAUUAUGGUGAAUUAGAAGAAACUGCUCUCUUCUGUAUUUGGGACAGGGAGGAAAGACCUAGCAUACCACCCACCUCACUGCACAGAGACACCGUGUGGACCAUAUCCAGAUCCGUUCAGAGACCAUGGCUCCCAGACCACAGCCAGGCAGGAGGUCAAUGGACAUGAACAGAGGUGUGUUGUGUCCUGGAAUGGCUAAUUAGGUAAUAAAAAGUAAUUGGGAGAGAGGUGAGAAGAAGGCAGGGGCAAUGCAUGCUUGGAUCGCAUAUGAUUUCAUGUGCUACCCUCUAAAACAGAACAGCAGUGUCUGCUGCCUCUCAGUUUUUCUUACGAGUUGGAAAUUAGAGCAGUGACAACAGGAGGGCCCUAGAUCAAAGGCCCAGGAGACCUCUAGUCGCUAAAUAUCUGGGCAAUCCUAAAAGUGGAGGGAGGCUCUGGAAGUGAGUGGGCCCUUCAGGUCUGCUUUGCUUAUGCCCAAGAGAAAGUGAGGGAGUAGGAAGAUUCUUUUCCAGUACUGUUGUUGGCCAGUGCCAGGCUUGAACAUAACUUUCUCUUUUUCAAGAUGAAGAGACAAAAAAAAAAAAAAAAUGCCCAGAGGGGCCUAAGGAAAGAAUACUGCAGAAUAAGGGAGAGGAAGUUUUUCUAUUAAAACUUGAAGCAAGAUUAUAUAUCUAAAAAUAAAUUUCUCCAGAAGAGAGAACAACAUUUUAGCAGACGUAUUUUUGGUAGUCACAAAAAGCUGGGAGAAGGCAUAGCCAUGAUGAGAGAGGAGUCAGGGGCCAUCUGGAGAAAACAGAUUGGGAUGAAGGAAGAUUUGCAAAGGCUGAAACAAGAAAUGAGGGCAAAUAUGCCAAAAGUGUAAUAGAAUUAAAACCUUACUAAAGAGAGCCAUUGCUGAGAAGACAUAGAUGAAAUCAAAUCAGUAAAGUGAAAGACAAGGAA
rnacentral:lncRNA from 1 species